GACGUAGGGUGCAAGCGUUGUCCGGAUUUAUUGGGCGUAAAGAGCUCGUAGGCGGCUUGUUGCGUCGACUGUGAAAACCCGCGGCUUAACCGCGGGCUUGCAGUUGAUACGGGCAGGCGUAGAGUUCGGUAGGGGAGACUGGAAUUCCUGGUGUAGCGGUGAAAUGCGCAGAUAUCAGGAGGAACACCGGUGGCGAAGGCGGGUCUCUGGGCCGAUACUGACGCUGAGGAGCGAAAGCGUGGGGAGCGAACAGG
rnacentral:rRNA from 1 species